rnacentral:rRNA from 1 species
AACGGCUACUAUUUCUAAGGAAAGCAGCAGGCGCGCAAAUUAUUCAAUGGAAACAAUUUUCCGAAAUAGUGACAAAAAUAUCAAUGCUGGGUACUAUGUAUCUAGUAAUUGGAAUGAGUACAAUUUAAAUCCCUUAACAAGUAACAAUUAGAGGGCAAGUCUGGUGCCAGCAGCCGCGGUAAUUCCAGCUCUAAUAGCGUAUAUUAAUAUUGUUGCAGUUAAAAAGCUCGUAGUUGAAAUUUGGAACUUUAUUAUAUUGGUUUGUCUUUUGAUGAACUGUAUAAUGGGUUUCUUCCUACUAGAGUUCGAUUCUGUUCUUAACUGAAUGGAGUAGCUAUCUUUCGGGGUGGUCAGUUGGUUAUUAUAUCUCCACUAAUAAGCAGAGAGGGGUUAAACCUUUGAAGUAAGUUAUGUGGAUCAAGGUAUGGUGAUUAAUUGGAGUUCUAGUUCAUUUACUUUGAGAAAAUUAGAGUGUUUAAAGCAGCCUCUUUGGGGGCACUGAAUACAUU